rnacentral:rRNA from 1 species
UACGGAGGAGGCAAGCGUUAUCCGGAAUCAUUGGGCGUAAAGCGUCCGCAGGUGGCCCUUCAAGUCUGUCGUGAAAGACUGGGGCUUAACUCUGGAAAGGCGGUGGAAACUGUACAGCUAGAGUAUGGUAGGGGCAGAGGGAAUUCCUGGUGUAGCGGUGAAAUGCGUAGAGAUCAGGAAGAACACCCGUGGCGAAGGCGGUUCUCUAGUACGGUACUGACGCUGAGACGCGAAAGCGUGGGGAGCGAACAGG